rnacentral:rRNA from 1 species
UACGGAGGGUGCGAGCGUUGUCCGGAAUCACUGGGCGUAAAGGCGCGUAGGCGGCCUGAUAAGUAGGGGGUGAAAUCCUGCGGCUUAACCGCAGGGCUGCCUUCUAAACUGUCAGGCUCGAGCACAGUAGAGGCAGGUGGAAUUCCCGGUGUAGCGGUGGAAUGCGUAGAGAUCGGGAAGAACAUCAGUGGCGAAGGCGGCAUCCUGGACCGACACUGAC